GGCCCCUGCUCAGCCUCUCGGCGGCCAUGGCAGCGUGCAGCUUAGUAUCGUCAUGUCCUCUGCGGUUGACCCGGGACGCCGCGGACCACCCUCCAUAGCUCUCGGCCUGCUGGCAGGAAGACUGCGUCUCGUACUAUCGAUCGUAAAAAAAAGCCUUAGCAAGGAGACCAAACCGUUGUGGACCCGUUGGAAUAGGAAUAAAAUACAGGCCUGAUGCAGGCCCCGCUGUGAUCUUGCCAAGAUGGUGUGCGGAAUGAUUGUUUUCUUCCUCUAGGGAGUUUGCUGGAAAUUAGGGAGCUGAGGACAUGGUGUGGCCUUAGGAAAGCUGGUGAUUAAGCUCUGCUCAUAGUGUGAACUUUAUGCCAGACGCCUGCAGUGGCCCAAUUGAGAUCCAGAAGCCAGGAAGAAUAAGGCCUACCUCUUGGUCACAUGGCUGAUCAGGACAGGUGCAGAUAUAAUUAUAGGCCAUGGGCCUCAGAUGUGGCCUCUGUAACCUCACCAAGGACCUACACAACCACCCAUACAGGCUUUGGGCACACUUGUAUCCUGGCAGUCCACGUCCUAAAUUAUGGACCACAUCUGUGUUGGCUUGGGCUGUUCCUUCAAGAUGGUGAAGUGAGGUCUAUGUAGUGGCUCUAGGGGUGGAGGGCCCUCUAACCAACUGCAUUGCACAUUGCCUUAGAAGGGAUAAUUAUGUAACUGUAGGUGCUGUGACACAAAUAAACUUGUUAAUUCUUGAA